UGAGGAAUAUUGGUCAAUGACCGGAAGGCUGAACCAGCCAAGCCGCGUGGAGGAAGAAGGCGCAGAGCGUCGCAGACUCCUUUUGUCGGGGGACAAACGGCCGCACGCGUGUGGCUCUGAGGGUACCCGAAGAAAAAGCAUCGGCUAACUCCGUGCCAGCAGCCGCGGUAAUACGGAGGAUGCGAGCGUUAUCCGGAUUCAUUGGGUUUAAAGGGUGCGUAGGCGGCGUCUUAAGCCGGCGGUGAAAUCGCGGGGCUCAACCCCGCCGAGCCGUCGGAACUGGGAUGCUCGAGUGUCGGCGAGGCAUGCGGAAUGCGCGGUGUAGCGGUGAAAUGCAUAGAUAUCGCGCAGAACCCCGAUUGCGAAGGCAGCGUGCCAGCCGCCCACUGACGCUGAGGCACGAAAGCGCGGGUAUCGAACAGGAUUAGAUACC
rnacentral:rRNA from 1 species